CUCGAAUGAAGAAAUGAGAACAGAAGAAAUGGAAUGAUGCUCAAGCAACAAUCUUUUCUUCAUUCGGAUUCCACUGACUAAGGUGGGAGAGGAUAUCAUAUGAACAGCAUGGCGGAGUACUUAAAGGAGCCGUCCCAGCAUGAUCCUCUGCGCGCCUUGAAUUACCGCGAAGACCUUGAUCAGCGCCAUUUUCAACGACGUCGAAAUUAUUCGUCGUAGUAGCUUACACAAUCUGUCUAAAAUCUCAAACAUUGCUAGGUUUUUCCUUAWAAGUUGGAUAUAUAUUAGUUCUUUAUUUAGCAUAUAUAUUCAUGUUCUUGAAUCAUUUAGAAUAUCGAGUCUCUUUUAUAAACGUGUUAUGUUGAGUUUGCCGAUAUGGCUCCAGCUCAACGUUACGAAAUCUUCUAACGAUCGACCACGCUGGAAAGAAGAAAUAACGGAGGCGAAUCACGURCAAGGCCUCGACAUACGAACCGAAGGAAAAUCAAGCCGCCACUAGGUGAUGGCAACACGACUCGAAGAUUGAUUGGCUAGACGAAUACGGAAUGUGAU